GAUGAACGCUGGCGGCGUGCCUAAUACAUGCAAGUCGAGCGAACAGACGAGGAGCUUGCUCCUCUGACGUUAGCGGCGGACGGGUGAGUAACACGUGGAUAACCUACCUAUAAGACUGGGAUAACUUCGGGAAACCGGAGCUAAUACCGGAUAAUAUAUUGAACCGCAUGGUUCAAUAGUGAAAGACGGUUUUGCUGUCACUUAUAGAUGGAUCCGCGCCGCAUUAGCUAGUUGGUAAGGUAACGGCUUACCAAGGCAACGAUGCGUAGCCGACCUGAGAGGGUGAUCGGCCACCCUGGAACUGAGACACGGUCCAGACUCCUACGGGAGGCAGCAGUAGGGAAUCUUCCGCAAUGGGCGAAAGCCUGACUGAGCAACGCCGCGUGAGUGAUGAAGGUCUUCGGAUCGUAAAACUCUGUUAUUAGGGAAGAACAAAUGUGUAAGUAACUAUGCACGUCUUGACGGUACCUAAUCAGAAAGCCACGGCUAACUACGUG
rnacentral:rRNA from 1 species